rnacentral:lncRNA from 1 species
GAACGUAAAUGGCGCUCCUCCGCGCCGCAGCCGCAGCCGCCCCGCUCCCUUCCCGCUCCGCCAGCUGCCGCCCUCCCGCGCUCGCUUCUCGCCCCGCGGCCUGGCCCGUGCGCCUCCGAGGCUGGCCAGGGGCACCGAGGCCGCGGGCCCCCCAUCGCCCCCACCCGAGCCCUGAUUUACCGUCCGAGAGCCGGCGGCACAUGGGACCCCGAGAGGAGAAGCGCGCCUGCCCCAGUGCGUCCCCAGGCGGGGGAGCCCCGACUCCUGGAGGGACCGCGUCCUGCCCGGCCCGGGAAGUUCAGGGCUGGAGAACCCCUUCCCCGACCCCAUUUCUCUUUUAACAAGAGUAGGGUUUGUAGCUAACCAACGUCCUGACAGCUCAGCUCUGCUUUCCCUUUAAGCAUUAAUAUCAAAGCCCUGCCUGCUACCGGUGAAGCCCCGACCCGGGAGGGCCCGAAAGUCCCUUCAGGGAGAGGCCGCACUGGGCCUGCUCACCCAGGGGCUGCCCCUGCAGACUCUCCCGAGGGGCCCAGGGAUAUUCCUCGCGCCGCGAGUGGACGCUUCCAUCCACCCCAUGGGGAGGGCCUCUGCGCGUGGCUACUCUGAGCCCUCUGGAAUGCCGAGAUAGUUGCAUAAUUUCAGAAACCACGGCAUGGAGACGGAAUGAUGCAGACUCCUAUCCGCGAGAUACCUGCUGUAAUUUCGCUGUGGUUCGUGAGGACGCGUCCUGGGCUGCCCUGAGAAGCCUACGUCUCCCCUUCGAGGCCCGGGAAGACCUCCAACCCCGCUGACAAUGCUGGGCCCUCAGCCAGACCUGCCCUGCGUGCCACGUUCUGUUCUAAGAUCGGGCUGCCGAGCUGUGGCCUGGAGGAAACCUGGCAGGUGGGGCUGCCAUGAGCAGCAAGCUCAGUCCAGAAGAACAGUUCCUCUCCAGGAUCCACUUCCUGCGCACUUUUAUGUGCAGUGUAGCUGGAGCAGAGCUCCCCGGAAUUCCACAGGCAACUGAGAACGGAGAGGGAUGCAGGCCAGCCAGGGAUCCAGCGUCUUCCCCAUCGUCACUCUCCAUGGCCUCCGUCUACACACAGUGUUCGUCUGCACAGCUUGUCAGCGCGUUAUCAUGACUUCUAUUUGGCACCGGCCCGUCUGUCCACUGUCCUGGCUUGUUCCAAGCGCUGCCUUCUCCAACUGGGGUCCUGGCUGCAGAGCUGUCUGCUCCCCACGUUGGGCAACUCCAGCCAAGAUUCCUACACCCAAAUGUGACCGUGUUGCUCACGAAGAAGGCUCAGCUUUGCGUGUGCCCAGCCGUGUGCACAGCUCGUCCCAACUCCUGCGGGUGGCACCUGCCUCUCCCACCUCCAGUCUUUCCCCUGUGAUGAGCAGAUGACCACCGCCCUCCAGGGUCAGCGUUUGGCUGUUUGUGUGCCUGCCCACCCGCCUCCCUGUGCCUGGGCCUGCCCUGUGCCUGCACACAGGAGUGGCUCAUGGCGUUUGCCCUACACGGAUGGGCUGUCCUGGGAGCUACUGGACAGUCACCUUGGUGGGAAUGCCAGAGGCAUGGGCAUUAGGUCCCCCCGGCCAGCCUCCGUUGCCACAUGGGCUAUUUUUGUCCAUCGCGUGGGACAACCUAGUAUUGGGGGAAAACUCAGUCCACUCUAAAGAAGCAUCGGCGUUUUGGAUGGACGAAUGCUGCUUCAUGCGACUCCAUGUCAAUGGACUAUUUUAUUCAACUCGGGUAUUUAUGAGUGUCUCCUCUGUGCCAGCCACGUGUGAAAGAAGAACUCCAAGUUACUGGACACCAGGACAAACCAGGUAGAUCACUGCAUCCGGUUCCUCCUCUUUCUGCCGACUCUCCCGGGCAACCGUUCUGAUUCCUGGCAUGGAGUUGGGGGCGAGCUCAUCAGUACCCAGAGCGCCUGGUGUGCAGCCAAAGGCCCCCAUUUUAUUAGUCGGUGUGUUCAGUAUCACGCUCAAGACAAGGGCCAACCUAUUACUUCACACACCUCAAAUACAAAAAGUGCCUGGGAACGUCGAUGAGGUAUUAAAGGAAACCACUGGUCUUGUCAGUCAUGUACACACAGAAAAAAAAACCAGUCAUUUUUAUUUUUAUUUUUUGAGACAGAGUUUCGCUCUUGUUGCCCAGGCUGGAGUGCAAUGGUGCAAUUUCAGCUCACUGCAAUCUCUGCCACCCGGAUUCAAGCAAUUCUCCUGUCUCAGCCUCCCGAGUAGCUGGAAUUGCAGACACCCAUCACCACGCCCAGCUAAUUUUAUGUAUUUUUAGUAGAGAUGGGGUUUCACCAUGUUGGUCAGGCUGGUCUUGAACUCCUGACCUCAGGUGAUCCACCCACGUCAGGCUCCCAAAGUGCUGAGAUUACAGGCAUGAACCACUGUGCCCAGCCGAAAACAACCAAGAAUUUUUUAACAAUAAAAUGACCAGCAAGUAAACUUGAAACAAAAAUGGACAAAUAUCUAAAAUAUUUUUAAAUGUAUGUAUUUUAAUUGGCAAAUAAUACUUGUAUAUAUUGUU